GAGUUCAUAUAUAUAAAUAUCUUUAUAUAUAUAUAUCAUGUAGUGAUCGAUUGAUGAACGAUGUAGUCAAAACCUAGUAGAAUAUAAUUAAGCUAAUAAUUAAAUAUAAUCAAUUGAUCACUCAUCAGAGUAUGUAUAUGAAACACAUCACAUUAUAUUAUUGGAUAAUAUACUCGUGUACGUAUAUGAUAUAUAUAGUACGUAUUUAGAACUUGACAUAGUCGAUAGUGUGUAUAUGCGUGUGUAUGUAUAGGUAUAUAUAUAGUAUAUACAUAUUAUAUAGUGAAGCUGUAUUAAUGACAUAAGAUAAUCUAAUCGAUAAUUCAUCUGAGUAUUUGUGAUAUAAGUUGUAUAUUAUUAUUGGGUAGUAAAAUUGUGUAUGUGAUGUUUAUAGUACGUAUUUGAGAGUUGAUAUAGAUAAUUGAAUAUAUGUAUAUAUACGUAUAUCUCGUGUAGUGACGUAUGCAGUAAUCGAAAGUUAGAUAACUGAAUCUAUAUAUCAAAAUAUUUUGAAUGACACAUUGAUAUCAUAUUAUUGAGGAAAUAGAUGUACUAUUUUAUGUCAAUGUAGAUACGCAUAUAUUGUUGAAGUUGUAAUAACGUAAGACAAGUAAUCGAUAAUUUAUCUAAUUAACACGUUGUAUUACGAGGAAUAUAUAUAUAUAUAUAUAUAUAUAUAUACACACAUAUAUAUAUAUUUUAUAAAUAUUAUAGAAUUUAUUAAAAAAUUAUUUUGUUAAAAAUUAAUUGUAAUUUAUUAAUUCAUUUUAAUUUAUUAAUUGUAGUUUGUUAAACAUUAAUUUAAUAUCAAUGGAACUUAUUUUUUAAAAAAAAAUUAUUUGAAAAUCGAUCACAUGUGGUCGGUUUUUUAGAAAAUAUUUUCCAGAAAACCUACCACAUGUAGUCGGUUUUUUAGAAAAUAUUUUCCAGAAAACCUACCACAUGUGGUUGAUUUUCAAAUAUUUUUUUUAAAAAAGUUUCAUUAACCCAAUCCGACCCGACUUGAGAAAAACAAUAAAACAUCAAAAUACACACACACCUAACCUAAUUAAACCGCGAUCUCAGCUACACCCACACCCACCAACACACAACAAUACACACACAUCGCGAUCUACUCCGACGAUGACAACUCAAGUGUGAAGCUAUUUUUGUGUUGCUUUUUAAUUUUUUGAGAUUAUUGAAUUCCUUUUAUGGUUUAGUUUGUUGUUUUAGAUAUGAAUUUCUCUUGAUUGAAGUUAUUCAUGGUAGAAAUCCCUUAAAAUUUAAGUCUUUUGAAUCUUUAGCUCUGAAAUUUUGAGGUUGUUGAUUUGCUUUUAUGAUAGCUUUUGAUAUGGAUUUUGUGGUGUUGAAGUUAUUAUUGGUUGGAAUUCCUCAAAGUAGGAAUCUCUAGUUGUGAUUUGUUGAGAUUCUUGAUUUACUUUCAUAGUUUUACUAUCUUUAGUAGAUUUUAGUAUCUUUAGUAUCUUGAAAUCCCUAAUUUAGUAUCUUUGAGUCAGAUUUUAGCUAAAGUUUACGAAUUUGAGUUUAAAUUACCUAAAUUUUGGUUAGUCUUGACAUUAACUAGCAUUUGAGUUCUAAUAAUUUUACUAUUCGACAGAUUCUGAAUCCAGUAUAAGGAUUGCUUUGCUAUUUUUUCCGAUGACCGCCUAUUGAUCUCUUUUACUUUAAUUUAGGCCAAGCAAAGUUAAGUUGCUAUCUUCUUGUUAUUGUUCAUAUUGAAGUCUAGUGAAGUCGUGUGUGGCCUUGUUCGAUUCACUAGCAUUAUUGUUAUCUUAUUGUUAUUGUUCAUAUUGAAGUCUAGUAAAGCCGUGUGUGUCCUUAUUCGAUUCACUAGCAUUGUUGUUGACAUCUUGUUGGUCUUGUUGUUGCUUGUUUUGAAUGUGGUUUGGUUAUUGACUUAGUCACUUGAAAAUGGAUAAGUGUAGUGACUUAAAAGGGGAUUUUUUGUUUUGAAUGUGCUUUGAAUGGUGACUUAGUUUCUUGAAAAUAGUUAAUUGUAGGGACUUUGGGGAUUUUUUGUUUUGAAUGUGGUUUUGUUUUGAUACUUAGUCACUUGAAAAUGGAUAAGUGU
rnacentral:lncRNA from 1 species